CUGUUAGGAUGACAAUAUUUUUUGCCAGCAACAGCUCACCUAAUGAGUGUUGAUGCUGUGGGUCUGAAUGA
ensembl:snoRNA